rnacentral:tRNA from 1 species
CUUCGAUAGCUCAGUUGGUAGAGCGGUGGACUGUAGACGGAAAUUGGCUUGCAUCAACAGUAAUAACGUUGGGGCGGCGAUCUGGAAUCUUUCCGAUCGCUGCAGUGCAGACAUCCAUAGGUCGCUGGUUCAAAUCCGGCUCGAAGGAG